UGGGGAAUAUUGCGCAAUGGGCGAAAGCCUGACGCAGCGACGCCGCGUGAGGGAUGGAGGUCUUCGGAUCGUAAAACCUCUGUCAGCAGGGAAGAACGGUCACUGUGCUAAUCAACAGUGAAUUGACGGUACCUGCAAAGGAAGCACCGGCUAACUCCGUGCC
rnacentral:rRNA from 1 species